AAUGAAGGUGAAAGUGAAAAUAGUUUCCGUCUCUCAGACAGAGUCACUGCGCCAUUACACUUCCUGCUGUAACGGACUGAUACAGGAGGAAUAUAUGUGUAUAUGUAGACAGGGGACAUUUUAAACACGGUGUUUAAACCCUAAUGAGUUAAAUACCGAAUAUGUGGCGCUCUGAAAUGUGGAAACACUUCAGUUAAAGUAUCAGAUGUGUUUAUAUGAGGAACAGGAAAGGAUUGUAUUAGUCUGAAUCUGAGAUAAAGAUGGCGACUGCAAGCAAUGAGUUUAAACUCAUUGGUCCCAGUGAUAGAGAGUGGUAUAAAUACCUUGCUGUCACUCUCUCAUGUCGUCUGUCUCCUGAAAUCAGUGCUGUUGACUUGGAGAUCCGGUGGUUUAAGGAGACAGACUGUGUUUGUGUUUAUAAGAACAGUAAGGUGACAGAGGGGAGAGGUUAUGAGGGCAGAGUGAGUCUGUUCACUCAGGAGCUGGAGAGAGGAAACGUCUCCUUACAGCUGAGAGACUGUACAGGGUCAGAUUAUGGAUAUUACCUCUGUCAGGUCACUGAUGGAGACAGAACAGAAGAGAUUACAGUAUAUAUGUACUCGGUAAGUAAAUAACUCGACUUCACACUAAUAGUAAAAGCUGAUAUUUUAUAAACUUAUCACAUAUAUUACAUUUUAAUCCAGGAAUCAAAUAGAAACAUAAAGAUGAUUUUCAGAUCAUGUUUAUGUGAAGGAGUCUGAUCAGUAAGUGAGAUUCCACUUCCAUCAGUCAGCUUCUUUCCCACAAUGCACCUGUGUGUAACCUCACUGCAGUGUAAUAAUGUACAGAGACGUUUACCGUGUCGAGUAAAAGACACAACAAACACACAGCAUAUAACACACACCACUGACAGACUCCAUCAGAAUGUUACACAAUAAACAUAAAUCACAGCUUUAACAGUUUUCAGUGUUUGUAGACAGAAUAAUUGUCAUCAGUCGCUCUGCGUAACAAUCACACCAUGUUUUGUAAAAGCACUGAAGAGUCGACUCGGCCUGGCGUUUAGUGUCUUUAAGCUAACGGUAGUAAGUCGUGUUAAUGCACACAGCAUAAAGACAACCUGACUGACCUGAGAACAGAAGUCCUUCACUUCAUUUCUAAAACUUCCUUCAUAGGAGAGAGGGAUUUGGGAGUGAAAGAGAGAAAAACAGAAGGAGAUCACGCAUCUUCUCUAAUCUACUGCGACAUGUCACAUGCUGUCGUAACCAGUAUAUAGACGAGGCAGCAGUAAAGAACAUCAUUCUGUUAUCUGUUCAGGUUUUACAUUGAUAAAUGUCUGUGUUUAUAAUUAAAGGAAGUGAGAAUCUGA